rnacentral:rRNA from 1 species
AGAGUUUGAUCCUGGCUCAGAACGAACGCUGGCGGCAUGCCUAACACAUGCAAGUCGAACGAGGUCCAGGGGAGCUUGCUCCCUGACGACCUAGUGGCGAACGGGUGAGUAACACGUGAGAAACCUGCCUCGGAGUGGGGAAUAACUCGGGGAAACUCGAGCUAAUACCGCAUACCUUCACAUGAUCGCAUGGUCGAGUGAAGAAAGAAUUUCGCUCUGAGAGGGUCUCGCGGCCUAUCAGCUUGUUGGUGGGGUAACGGCCUACCAAGGCGACGAUCCGUAGCUGAUCUUAGAGGAUGAUCAGCCACACUGGGACUGAGACACGGCCCAGACUCCUACGGGAGGCAGCAGUGGGGAAUAUUGGACAAUGGGCGCAAGCCUGAUCCAGCCAUGCCGCGUGUGUGAAGAAGGCCUUCGGGUUGUAAAGCACUUUCAGCGAGGAGGAAGGGUGGUGUGUUAAUAGCACAUCAUUUUGACGUUACUCGCAGAAGAAGCACCGGCUAACUCUGUGCCAGCAGCCGCGGUAAUACAGAGACUGCAAGCGUUAUUCGGAUUCACUGGGCGUAAAGGGUGCGCAGGCGGCCAAGUGUGUGAAGCGUGAAAGCCCAAGGCUCAACCUUGGAAUUGCGCCUCAAACUACAUGGCUAGAGCAUUGGAGAGGGUAGCAGAAUUCAUGGUGUAGCAGUGAAAUGCGUAGAUAUCAUGAGGAAUACCAGAGGCGAAGGCGGCUACCUGGACAAUUGCUGACGCUCAGGCACGAAAGCGUGGGGAGCAAAAGGGAUUAGAUACCCCUGUAGUCCACGCCCUAAACGGUGCAUACUAGGUCUUGGCGGAUUCGACCCCUCCAGGGCCCAAGCUAACGCGAUAAGUAUGCCGCCUGAGGACUACGGCCGCAAGGCUAAAACUCAAAGGAAUUGACGGGGAC